CGGCGGACGGGUGAGUAACACGUGGAUAACCUACCUAUAAGACUGGGAUAACUUCGGGAAACCGGAGCUAAUACCGGAUAAUAUAUUGAACCGCAUGGUUCAAUAGCGAAAGACGGUUUUGCUGUCACUUAUAGAUGGAUCCGCGCCGCAUUAGCUAGUUGGUAAGGUAACGGCUUACCAAGGCAACGAUGCGUAGCCGACCUGAGAGGGUGAUCGGCCACACUGGAACUGAGACACGGUCCAGACUCCUACGGGAGGCAGCAGCC
rnacentral:rRNA from 1 species